UUUCCUCCGGAAGUGCGGAUCCCAGCGGCGGUCGUGUAGCUGAGCAGGCCUGGGGCUUGGUUCUAUGUCCCUGUAGCUAUGUUUCCAGUGUCCUCUGGGUGUUUCCAAGAGCAACAAGAAACGAAUAAAUCUCUGUCCGCGAUCCAGCCCGGUCCACCACAGCCUUCAGCAGCGACACUCGUAGCCUCCCACCUCUCAGACCGACCCCGCAGCGCCUCCACCCCAGAGACCCGGACCAAGUUCACACAGGACAAUCUGUGCCACGCCCAGCGCGAGCGCCUGGACUCGGCCAACCUGUGGGUGCUGGUGGACUGCAUCCUUCGCGACACCUCCGAGGACCUGGGACUCCAGUGUGACGCCGUGAACCUGGCCUUCGGGCGCCGCUGUGAGGAACUGGAGGACGCGCGGCACAAGCUGCAGCACCACCUGCACAAGAUGCUGCGGGAAAUCACAGAUCAGGAACACAACGUGGUGGCACUGAAGGAGGCCAUCAAGGACAAGGAGGAACCUCUGCACAUAGCCCAGACCCGGCUGUAGUUGCUCUCACACCGGCCCAACAUGCAGCUGUGCCGCGAUGCAGCCCAGUUCAGCUGGUGAGUGAGGUGGAGGAGCUGUACAAGUCCAUCACAGCGCUGCGGGAGAAGCUUCUACAAGCGGAGCAGUCCCUGCGCAACCUCAAGGACAUCCACAUGAGCCUGGAGAAGGACGUCACUGCCAUGACCAACAGUCUCUUCAUCGACCGCCAGAAGUGCAUGGCCCAUCGUACUUGCUACCCCACCAUUCUGCAGCUGGCUGGCUACCAGUGAGCAGCGGCACGGUGCUUCCCCCCAAUCCCCCAAAUAAACAGUGCGUUAGCUU
ensembl:lncRNA TEKT4P2 tektin 4 pseudogene 2